rnacentral:lncRNA from 1 species
UGCCCAGCCAGCACUACAUUCUGGUUCUCACAAGGGAUCCUCUUCUCAGUGAUGUCCUUCAAAGCUAGCUGGGGCUUAGGUGUGCACCCCUUCCCCCAGGACCCAGAAAACAUGUCAGGUUGUCCUGGCUCCCCAACCAGCCCAAUCCAACCCUAAAUAAAAACCUGAGCUUAAAAGAGGGGCAGAUUUCUGUAUACCAGUGGAUUAUGCAGUUGAGAAGGAAAUUAAGAAACCUGAGUUCUCUCCCCAAAUAUGCUCUGGAUUUGGGCUCUCAGCUUUCAGAGUGCUGAUUUAUUGUGUUACAUUGCACAGCUUAUUAUAAAGCUAACUCUUAUUCUUACUAUAACCCUCCUGCUUAAUUAAUUCAAGAACAUUUAGUUCCAGGUACUAAGAUUAGGGAAGGCGGUCUGAACCUCCUUGGCCUGAGCUUCCUAUUUCCACGUGAAAAGACCUCCACUAGUUUCACCCUCCAGGCACUCCCACCUAAUAAUACUGAGAUAAGAGGCUGGUCAGCCAGGUGUGUCUCAGCCCCUUCCUCUUUCCACAGAUUAUUGCCUGCUCCUCCAAGCCCUUCACUGUAGAAUGGAAGCCUGUGAUUUUCCUGGCAUCAUGCAUGACUGAGAAGGUCAGUGUGGCUAAUUCUGAGCUUCAACAUCAGGAAACCCGUAGUUCUUCACACUGAGCCGCCUCCUGCAGCACAGUCAUCCUUGGUAAUAAAGCUGAUAUUUUAAUCAAUAUCUGUCUUACUCUUUCAUCUUGUCCCUCAUUUGGUUUAGAAUUCAGGUGGGGAAAACAAUUGUUUACUUUAUCGGACUCCUAACCAUGUGCUUGGCAGACACAGGUGAAUAAAUACAGUCUCUAUUCUCAGGAAAUUCAUAGAGCAAUGGUGGGAGGUGGGUAGAUGGAAAUGGAAGCAAAAAAAACAAUGUGAAUUACUGUAACUAGGGAAGUGGUG